AACAAAUAGAAAGUUUCUUUUUUUAAUUUAAUUUAAAAAUAAAUUAAAUAUAUUUGUUAAAAAUAAAGGUGAAAUUUUUUUUUAAGUUAAAAUUUAAUAUAAAAUUAAAAUUCUUGUAAUAAACUAGGAUUAGAUACCCUAUUAUUAAAGAGCUAUAAAUUGUAAGUAAAUAAUAAUUAUGAAAGCAAAAAAUUAUGGCGGUAUUUUAAGCUUUUCAGAGGAAUUUGCUCUUUAAUGGAUAAAACACCUUAAUCUUACUUAAAUUUGUUAAAUCAGUUUGUAUACCACUAUGAAAUUAAUUAAUUAUUUUAAUUAAUAAAAUUUAUUAAUAUUUUAAAAAAAAUUAAGUCAAGGUGCAGCAAAAAUUUAAGAAUGAAGUGAAUUACAUUUCUUUUAAGAAACCAGUAAAAUUAAAAUUAUUUUUAGGAUUUGAAAGUAAAAUUAAAAUAGAAUGUUAAUUUGAAUUAAGCUCUAAAAUAU
rnacentral:rRNA from 1 species